rnacentral:tRNA from 1 species
UGGGCUGUGGCUUAGUGGUAGAUGGCUUACCUAGCAUGCAUGAGGUCCUGGGUUCCAUCCCCAGCAGCACAA